AUUGCGAAAUUCGCGCCUCUGGUAGGGAACAGGGGGCGGGUAGGUGCCCAGAUUGCGGUAGCCCUUUCCACCUUGGUUUAUUUUUUACCACCCUGCCCGGGUUGGGGGGGGAAAGGGAUAGGUUGAAACGGGAAUUACACCUCCAGAGGAUUAUACAAACCGGAUUAUUAGUGUCGUCUGAGUAGUAUAUAAUAGUUAAAACUUUCAACAACGGAUCUCUUGGUUCUGGCAUCGAUGAAGAACGCAGCGAAAUGCGAUAAGUAAUGUGAAUUGCAGAAUUCAGUGAAUCAUCGAAUCUUUGAACGCACAUUGCGCCCCGUGGUAUUCCGCGGGGCAUGCCUGUUCGAGAGUCAUUAUGACCAAUCCCGUUCGCGGGGUCUUGGGCACCGCCAUCUGGCGGGCCUCAAAAUCAGUGGCGGUACGGCCGGGCUCUGAGCGUAGUAAAUCUUCUCGCUACAGGGUCCCGGGCGGCACUGGCCAGCAACCCCCAAUCUUUCACAGGUUGACCUCGGAUCAGGUAGGGAUACCCGCUGAACUUAA
rnacentral:rRNA from 1 species